rnacentral:rRNA from 1 species
AGGCGCGAAAACUUCGCAAUGCGGGAAACCGUGACGAGGGAAUCCCGAGUGCUCAUGCAAUGCAUGGGCUUUUAUGAUGUGUAAAAAGCAUUAGGAAUAGGGGCUGGGUAAGACCGGUGCCAGCCGCCGCGGUAAUACCGGCAGCUCUAGUGGUAGCCACUUUUAUUGGGCCUAAAGCGUUCGUAGCCGGUCAGGUAAAUCCUUGGGUAAAUCGUACAGCUUAACUGUGCGGAUUCCGAGGAGACUGCCUGACUUGGGACCGGGAGAGGUUGGAGGUACUCCUGGGGUAGGGGUGAAAUCCUGUAAUCCUAGGUGGACCACCGGCGGCGAAGGCGUCCAACCAGAACGGCUCCGACGGUGAGGGACGAAGGCUAGGGGCGCAAACCGGAUUAGAUACCCGGGUAGUCCUAGCUGUAAACGCUGCAGACUUGGUGUUGGAGAUCCUACGAGGGUGUCCAGUGCCGAAGAGAAGUUGUUAAGUUUGCCGCCUGGGAAGUAUGGCCGCAAGGCUGAAACUUAAAGGAAUUGGCGGGGGAGCACCGCAACGGGAGGAGCGUGCGGUUUAAUUGGAUUCAACGCCGGAAAACUCACCGGGGGCGACGGUUAUAUGAAGGCCAGUUUGAAGACAUUGCCUGAUUUUCCGAGAGGAGGUGCAUGGCC